AGAGUUUGAUCCUGGCUCAGAAUGAACGUUGGCGGCGUGGAUUAGGCAUGCAAGUCGAGCGCGAACCCCGCAAGGGGGGAGAGCGGCAAACGGGGUAGUAACGGGUAGGUGACGUACCCUCGGGUCGGGGAUAGCCACGGGAAACUGUGGGUAAUACCCGAUAAUCUCUCGAAGCGUGAUGGUUUCGGGAGCAAAGGUGUGAUUCCACCGGAGGAGCGGCCUGCUUCGUAUUAGCUUGUUGGUGAGGUAACGGCUCACCAAGGCAUCGAUGCGUAGGGGGUGUGAGAGCAUGACCCCCACCACUGGGACUGAGAUACUGCCCAGACACCUACGGGUGGCUGCAGUCGAGAAUCUUCGGCAAUGGGCGCAAGCCUGACCGAGCGACGCCGCGUGCGGGAUGAAGGUCUUCGGAUUGUAAACCGCUGUCGGAGGGGAUGAAGUGCAUCGGGGUACUCCCCGGUGUUUGACAGAGCCUCGGAGGAAGCACGGGCUAAGUUCGUGCCAGCAGCCGCGGUAAUAC
rnacentral:rRNA from 1 species